GGGCCGCUGGUGAAAUCGCCUAUCACUCUUGGCUUUUACCCAUGAAUUCCGGGUUCGAGCCCCGGGCGACCCA
rnacentral:tRNA from 2 species